rnacentral:misc_RNA from 1 species
GCUGAAGAACGCAGCGAAAUGCGAUACGUAAUGUGAAUUGCAAAUUCAGUGAAUCAUCGAGUCUUUGAACGCACAUUGCGCCCCCUGGUAUUCCGGGGGGCAUGCCUGUCCGAGCGUCAUUGCUGCCCUCAAGCACGGCUUGUGUGUUGGGCCCCGUCCUCCGAUCCCGGGGGACGGGCCCGAAAGGCAGCGGCGGCACCGCGUCCGGUCCUCGAGCGUAUGGGGCUUUGUCACCCGCUCUGUAGGCCCGGCCGGCGCUUGCCGAUCAACCCAAAUUUUUAUCCAGGUUGACCUCGGAUCAGGUAGGGAUACCCGCUGAACUUAAGCAUAUCAAUAAGCGGAGGA